GACGAACGCUGGCGGCGUGCUUAACACAUGCAAGUCGAACGGAAAGGCCCUGCUUUUGUGGGGUGCUCGAGUGGCUAACGGGUGAGUAACACGUGAGUAACCUGCCCUUGACUUUGGGAUAACUUCAGGAAACUGGGGCUAAUACCGGAUAGGAGCUCCUGCUGCAUGGUGGGGGUUGGAAAGUUUCGGCGGUUGGGGAUGGACUCGCGGCUUAUCAGCUUGUUGGUGGGGUAGUGGCUUACCAAGGGUUUGACGGGUAGCCGGCCUGAGAGGGUGACCGGCCACAUGGGGACUGAGAUACGGACCAGACUCCUACGGGAGGCAGCAGUGGGGAAUAUUGCACAAUGGGCGGAAGCCUGAUGCAGAAACGCCGCGGGCGGGAUGAAGGCCUUCGGGUUGUAAACCGCUUUCGCCUGUGACGAAGCGUGAGUGACGGUAAUGGGUAAAGAAGCACCGGCUAACUACGUG
rnacentral:rRNA from 1 species